ACCAGCUGUCAUGCCGCCUCACUGUUGUGUGCCCAAAUGUUCGUCCUCAAAGAGAAAAAAAAUCCUACCGUGGACAGACUUUCCACCGUUUCCCCAAAGAGCAGGCACUUCGCCGUGAAUGUAUAAAUCACAUCAAGAGGGAUCCUGGUCCAUAUUUCAAGAUCAACGCUGAGACCAAGGUUUGCUCUGAGCACUUUGAGAAGCAGUGUUUUGUAAAGACCGCCCGUGGUAUCACAAAGCUUAUAAAGGAUGCCGUGCCACUUUGUUCGCCUGGACUUCAGAGAGGCCAAAGAGGAGAAUCAUCAUUCGCAGACCGAGAGAUGAUGACCCAUUCCUGAAGUUGGACGCCAGAAUGGAGGAAGGUGCUGUUUAAGAGCCUAGGCGGUGGAAGAAGCACUUGCAGGUAUGCUACUAACCAGGCUCCUCAACAUCAAUCCGAGACGGAAGAUGAACCGGGAUGAAGCGGUUAGAUUGAGACAAGGCGGCCGGAAACUUUGAUGACCUCAAUGACACUGGCUAGGUGAAGGACAUCAAGAAAAUGGCAUCCGGUCACCAGACAUCAGCUCAUCCUAAGCAGGCAGCACCACACUACUGUGCAACAGUGAGAGAGAGCGGGCAAGGACAAGUAAAACGGACCUACACUACAGCAAGACUUUGACACUUCUCCACGUGAGAGGCAGCCAUCGCCCCCACCGUGGAGCAGUGUGUACCCAGUACCCCCAAAAGAGGAGAUGAUCCGACGCCAUCACAGCCGAUUUCCAAAAUUGUACACCAAACUCUGUAUGGGCGUGUG